AAAGGUACUCAAGGGCGCUAAAUGGAUGCCUAGACGUAUAUUACCGAUGAAGGACGUGGAAGACUGCGAUAAGCUUCGGGAAGCUGUCAACAAGCUUUGAUCCGGAGAUCUCCGAAUGGGGAAACCCAGCAUGAGUCAUGUCAUGUUGCCACUUGCUGAACACAUAGGCAAGCGAGCGGGAACCAUCUGAACUGAAACAUCUUAGUAGGAUGAGGAAGAGAAAGUAAAUAACGAUUGCGAAAGUAGUGGCGAGCGAAAUCGCAACAGCCCAAACCUUUUAAGUUUUUGCCUAUUAAUUUAGGCAAAUAAGUUGAUAGACGAAUACUUAUAAGGGGUUGUGAUAUUACAUAUGACCAAGUCAGAGAAUUUGAUUCAUUCAAAUAAUCUGAUUUGCGAUAACUGGCUAUCAACAGUUAGUAAGGUAAGAAAUCGGCGUGGUUAGUAGAAUAGUUUGAAUGACUAGCCAAAGAACGUGAAAGCCGUGUAUAUGAAAACGACGCUGACCUUAUGUAUGUUUUAUCGAGUAGGACGGGGCACGAGAAACCCUGUUUGAAUCUGGCUGGACCACCAGCCAAGGCUAAAUAUAAUAUACGAUCGAUAGUGAACUAGUACAGUGAUGGAAAGGUGAAAAGAACCCCGGGAGGGGAGUGAAAUAGAUCCUGAAAUUUAGUGCCUACAAGGAGUCGGAGCCGGCUUGUCCGGUGACGGCGUGCUUUUUGUAGAACGAUCCAGCGAGUUAAUUUUUACAGCGAGGUUAAGUCAAUUGACGGAGCCACAGUGAAAGCGAGCCUGAAUAGGGCGAUUAAGUUGUAAGGAUUAGACCCGAAACCGGGUGACCUAACCAUGAGCAGGUUGAAGCCACUGUAACAGGUGGUGGAGGACCGAACCAGGAUACGCAGCAAAGUGUUUGGAUGACUUGUGGUUAGCGGUGAAAUGCCAAUCGAACUCGGAGAUAGCUGGUUC
rnacentral:rRNA from 1 species